GUUGAGAGGACACUGGAACAGAAUACAACGUGCCGACCCCAAGAGGCAGUCCUGGAAGGAAAAGAGACAGCUGAGCAUUGUGUUUUCAGUUUAAGUGAUUUGCGUCUCUCUGAAGCUGCCACAGCUGGGGUGGUCCGUCCCAUGUUGCCCUUUGGUUUGCCUUGACCUUCAUCCUCUGGGUGGGAGCGGCGUGUUCUCCCAUCCUGGUGAAAGUGAUGCAUUCAUACAGUCCCACUGAAGAACAGCUGAUCAGGACGAGCAAGCCUAUGGAAACAGGAUUAAGUCGAUGUGUAAGACAACUACAUACACACCUACUAGGUCAGAGCAUUGUUUACAAUGAUAAAUGGUCUUAUACUUGUUAUACUUGCAUGUUAAGGGCUUAAGUAAACUAGCCAAAAAUAAAACAGGUGUCCAAAGGCACUGAUGCGUAUAAACACUCUUACAGUUCUA